GCCGGGCGCGGUGGUGGGUGCCUGUAGUCCCAGUUACUCGGGAGGCUGAGGUGGGAGGAUUGUUUGAGCCCAGGAGUUCUGGGCUGUAGUGCACUACAUCAAUCGUGUGGGUGUCCACACUAAGUUCGGCAUCAAUAUGGUGACCUCCUGGGAGUAGGGAACCACCAGGUUACCUAAGGAGGGGUGAACUGGCCCAGGUCAGAAACAAAGCAGGUCAAAACUCCCAUGCUGAUCAGUAGUGAGAUCGCGCCUGUGAAUAGUCACUGCACUCCAGCCUGGGCAACAUAGCAAGACCGAGUCUCU
rnacentral:SRP_RNA from 1 species